GCUCCAAUAGCGUAUAUUUAAGUUGUUGCAGUUAAAAAGCUCGUAGUUGGAUUUCGGGCGUGUCGCGUUGGUCCGCCAAUGGUGAGUACUGGCGUCGGCGCGCCUUCCUGCCGGGGACGGGCUCCUGGGCUUCACUGUCUGGGACUCGGAGUCGGCGACGUACUUUGAGAAAAUUAGAGUGUUCAAGCAGGCCUACGCUC
rnacentral:rRNA from 1 species